UCUGGGAAACAUAGUUUUCAGCGUGUCAACCUUGGCAGGACAAGAAGGCUCAAGAAGGAGGAGCACAUAGAUGCUAAGUGCCAAGUUGGCCUCAUCCAGCUGGCAGGAGGAGAUUAAAAAACUUGCAGGGAAUAAAGAAGACCUUGGGAAAAAAAAAAAAAAAAGAAGACCUUGGAUGUAAUGAAGCAAGUGGCCUGUCCUUCUAUGUAUGUCUGGUGACAGGCAGGCCUUUGUGGGCUGGGAGGCAGCUCAGAUGUUACUUUGUACAAAUGCCACUGAAGAGGAGCCAUCUACAGUGAGCAGGUUGUAAGACGACAGAUUGUCAACGGCAGAGUCAUAGCGCCCUACGGCUGGAAGGAGUCUUCUGCUUUUGGAGGGAGGCGGAAUGAUGGUGUCCUGGGCAAUCCUUCCAGACCUGGAGUCUCCACUUAGUCGGAACAAUGGGUCUUCGUGGGCAGCCCGUCCCUCCCGUGGAGCGCGUGGCCGAGGAGGGGUCCGAGGAAGGGCUGUAGGUGAAAAUCCAUCGUUAGGAGGAGGCGCAUCCGAGGAAGGGCUCCUGGGCUCCUGAGGACCCCGGAGCCUCCCUCCAUCUGCUCUCUCCUCCGCACUCCCAGGCGUCUCUAACCUGCAGGCCUCCUGGGGGACGACGUGUUUGCUUUGGCCCAUAAAUCAGUCCCACGGAUCACUUCGGGAAUCGUUAGGCUUUAUCAUGACGCGUUGCCACCUUUGAGGGAAUAAUUGCCCAGUUUGGCCAACUUGGGACCUGCUUCCUUCAUCUUAAUUUCCUCUCUGGGGAUGCCCUAAUUAGUAUUUACUUUCACUUAAAAGAGAGAAAUUUCUUCUGAUGCAAUCAACAGUUUCCCUUGCGUGCCAAGCUUGUUUUAUGAUAUUAAGCAUUUAAAUAAAAAAUUAUAAACGUACCGUGAAA